rnacentral:lncRNA from 10 species
ACUGUUUGCAACCUUGAGACUUUGUGCCUCACAUCCCAGCUGCUCCAACUGUGGUUUAAAGGGGUCAUGGUUGUCCAGCCUCUGAGCCCAAGCUAAACCAUCAUAUCCCCUGUGACCUGCACAUACACAUCCAGAUGGGCGAUUCCUGCCUUAACUGAUGACAUUCCACCACAAAAGAAGUGAAAAUGGCCUGUUCCUGCCUUAACUGAUGACAUUACCUUGUGAAAUUCCUUCUCUUGGCUCAUCCUGGCUUAAAGCUCCCCCGCUGAGCACCUUGUGACCCCCCCCCCAACCCCUGCCCGCCACAGAACAAACCCCCUUUGACUGUAAUUUUCCUUUAUCUACCCAAAUCUUAUAAAAUGGCCCCACCCCUAUCUCCCUUCGCUGGCUCUCUUUUCGGACUCAGCCCACCUGCCCCCAGGUGAAAUAAACAGCCUUGUUGCUCGCACAAAGCCUGUUUCGUGGUCUCUUCACAUGGAUGCGAGUGAAAUUUUGGUGCCGUGACUCGGAUCGGGGGACCUCCCUUGGGAGAUCAAUCCCCCGUCCUGCUCUUUGCUCCGUGAGAAAGAUCCACCUACGACCUCUGGUCCUCAGACCGACCAGGCCAGGGAACAUCUCACCAAUUUUAAAUCAGAAACCCCAGCCACAUCUCCACACACAAGAACUUCCAAACGCCUGAACUGCAGCUGCCAAGGUUUACUCCGGAAAUCUGGCCACUGGGCCAAGGAAUGCCCACAGCCCGAGAUUCCCCCUAAGCCGUGUCCUGUCUGUGCGGGACCCCACUGAAAAUCGGACUCUUCAACUCACCUGGCAGCCGCUUCCAGAUCCCCUGGAACUCUGGCCCAAGGCUCUCUGAGUGACUCCUUCCCAGAUCUUCUCGGCUUAGCAGCUGAAGACUGACACUGCCCAAUCGCCUUGGAAGCCUACAGGACAAUCACAGAUGCUCUGGGGACGUGAGUAAAAAUGGUACAGCUCAGGCCAUGGAUUCAGAGGGUGCAAGCCCCAAGCCUUGGCAGCUUCCAUGUGGUGUUGAGCUUGCAGGUACACAGAAGUCAGGAAUUGAGGUUGGGAACCUCCACCUAGAUUUCAGAGGAUGUAUGGAAAUGCCUGGACGUUCAGGCGGAAGUUUGCUGCAAAGGUGGUCCCUCAUGGAGAACCUCUGCUAGGGCAGUGCAGAAGGUAAAUGUGGGGUUGGAGUCCACACACAGAGUCCCAAAUGGGGAACUCUCUACUGGAGCUGUGAGAGAAGGCCCACUGUCCUUCAGACCCCAAAAUGGUAGGUCCACUGAUCCACCUGUAAAGGCCACAGACACUCAGUGCCAGCCAGCUAAGCAGCCAGGAAUGGGGCUGUACCCUUUGAAGCCACAGGGGCUGAGCUUCCCAAGGCUGUUGGAGUCCACCUCUUACAUCAGUGUGACCUGGAUGUGACACAUGGAGCCAAAAGAGAUCAUUUUGCAACUGUAAGAUUUGGUGAUGCCCUGUUGAAGUUUGGACUUUCAUGGGGCCUAUAGCCCCUUUGUUUUGGCCAACUUCUCCCAUUUGGAAUGGGCAUAUUUACCCAAUGCCUGUACCCCCAUUUUAUCUAAAAAGUAACUGACUUGCUUUCAGAUUUACAGGCUCAUAGGCAGAAGGGACUUGCCUUGUUUCAGAUGAGACUUUUGACUUGAACUUUGGGAUUAAUGCUGGAAUGAGCUAAGACUUUGGGGGACUGUUGAAAAGGCAUGAUUGUGUUUGUAAGGACAUGACAUUUAGGAGGGACCAGGGUUGGAAUGAUAUGGUUUUGCUCUGUGUCCCCACUGAAAUCUCAUCUUGAUUUGUAAUUCCCAUAAUCCCCACAUAUCAUGGGAGGGACCUAGUGGGAGGUAAUUGAAUCCUGGGAGCAGUUCCCUCAUGCUGUUCAUGUGAUAGUGAGUGAGUUCGCACAAGAACUGAUGGUUUUAUAAGGGGCCUUUCCCCACUUCACUUGGCACUUCUCUUCCCUGCCACUAUGGGAGGAGACCACCCCUCAUAUUGUCUUAUGCCCAAUUUCUGCCUCCAAAGAAAGAAGAAGUAAAAACUAAAAGGCAGAAAUGAAAUCCAUAGGCAGGCAGCCCGACGCCACAUCCUGGGCCUGGUAGUUAAAGAUCGACCCCUGACCUAAUCAGUUAUGUUAUCUAUAGAGUACAGACAUUGUAUAGAAAAGCACUGUGAAAAAUCCCUGUCCUUUUCUGUUCUGUUCUAAUUACCAGUGCAUGCAGCCCCCAGUCACGUACCCCCUGCUUGCUCAAUCGAUCACGACCCUCUCACGUGGACCCCCUCACGUGGACCACCUUAGAGUUGUAAGCCCUUAAAAGGGACAGGAAUUGCUCACUCGGGGAGCUCAGUUUUUGGAGAUGUGAGUCUGCCGAUGCUCCCAGCUGAAUAAAGCCCUUCUUUCUACAACUCAGUGUCUGAGGGAUUUUGUCUGCGUCUUGUCCUGCUACACCACCAGGUGAAGAAGGAAGUGUUUGCUUCUUCUUCCACCAUGAUUGUAAGUGUGCUGAGGCCUCCCAAGGCAUGUGGAAUGGUGAGUCAAUUAAACCUCUUUCCUUUAUAAAUUACUCAGUCUUGUUUAUGUUCUUAUAGCAGCAUGAAAAUGAACUAAUACAGUAAAUAAAUAAAUAUAUACAUGCACACACACAAACACCAUGACCAAAUGAUCAAGUCAAGUCUAUUUCAGGGAUAAGCGCAAGGUAAUUUCAAUAUUCACAAAUGUAAAUCAAUAUUCACC